rnacentral:rRNA from 1 species
UACGUAGGGUGCAAGCGUUGUCCGGAAUUAUUGGGCGUAAAGAGCUCGUAGGCGGUUUGUUGCGUCGGCUGUGAAAUCCCGAGGCUCAACCUCGGGUCUGCAGUCGAUACGAGCAAACUAGAGUGUUGCAGGGGAGACUGGAAUUCCUGGUGUAGCGGUGAAAUGCGCAGAUAUCAGGAGGAACACCGGUGGCGAAGGCGGCUCUCUGGGACGGUACUGACGUUGAGACGCGAAAGCGUGGGGAGCGAACAGG